rnacentral:rRNA from 1 species
UACGUAGGGGGCGAGCGUUGUCCGGAAUGACUGGGCGUAAAGGGCGUGUAGGCGGCGAUUUAAGUUUGGAGUGAAAGUCCCGUUUUCAAGAUGGGAAUUGCUUUGGAUACUGGAUUGCUUGAGUACAGAAGAGGUAAGCGGAAUUCCCGGUGUAGCGGUGAAAUGCGUAGAGAUCGGGAGGAACACCAGUGGCGAAGGCGGCUUACUGGGCUGUAACUGACGCUGAGGCGCGAAAGCGUGGGGAGCGAAC